AGAACAGACACGUGGCCCGCCCUGCUCCCCGGGCACUGGGCAGAUGGCGUGGCCGGAGCGGACCCUCCCCCCUGGGCCUGCCAGGGGCUGGGAGGCCACCUGUGAGCCAAGCACUUACUGAGACAGAGAGGAGUCCAGGCUGGAGCCUUCCAGGUGAAGCCUGGGGACGGAAUGGAGCGGACACAUCAACGCGGACGGACAGACAGACAGAGGGCCUGGACUCCUGGACCAGGAAGCCGAUGGCAGCAAGAGGCGGGCCCCACACAGGGCCACUGGCUGGACGACCUCUCCUGGGCUCCCCCGCCCUCUACGGGCCAUUGCACCCCCCGCCCUGCCCCUAGGCUUCCUGCUGACAAGACAGGCCAGUGCUUUUAGGGACCCCCCAGGGGCAACCCCUCUACUGGGCCAGCAACACACACCUGCUGCCCUUUGCGCGGCCUGGCCUAGGGCUCUA